GCCCCCGUAGCUCAAAUGGAUAGAGCGAUUCCGUCCUAAGGAAGAGGUUGCGAGUUCAACUCCCGCCGGGGGUA
rnacentral:tRNA from 1 species